AGCUCGAAACAAAUGUUCUUGUGCCGACCUUCAGCCAAAUCGGAGGAUAAUUGAAACAUCUAGGGUCUUGAGAAGUAUAAAACAUGGAGCUAUCCUACGGUGUAAGAACAUUUUUAUAGAAUGGAUAAAAGACUUCUCUCGGAAGAGCUGCUGAGAGCUAUGGGGAGAGAUGGCACUGAUGUGGCCCUCGUUCAAGAACCGUGGGUGACAAGCUACUAAGGUUCGCGGACUAAGAUCACGAAAUCUGAAUCUAAUCUCCCCCCUCCCCAAAGAAGCGAUGAAGACUUAACAGUAGUGGCCUUGGAGAAUCCCCGCAAACUACAAUAUUAGUGGUACUGGGCUCCAUGUACCUACCCUAUGAUGUGGACAACCCCCCUACAGACACCGUACGGGCCCUGGUCAGUUGGUCCGAGGAGAAGGGACAUGACCUUGUGCUAGGGGGUGAUGCGAAUGCACACUACAGUCUCUGGGGAAGCACGGAUACC